UGAUAUUGAGAUUUGUGACUUGGAAAAGCUUUUCAACAAAUAUAAAGGGUACCCUAGCAAAGGGUAACAUAGAGGAACAACUGUGAAAAGAACCAGGGUAAAGGUUACUGUUAGGGCUAUUGUUGGUGUGUUUUUUCGUAGAGCAUGGUGCUUGCUGCCAAAGGGAAGCUGAUUCAUGGCAUAAACCUUCAUUUUAGUGAGAGAAAAGGAGAAAGAGGGUGGGAGGUAAUGGGAUUGCAAGGGUUUGGAAAGAGACUGGCUUGCUCACCUAUUUAUCAAUAUUGUGGCUACCUAGUUUAAACAAGCUAGUACAGCUAUAAAUGUUCUUGUAAAGCAAUUCAAUAAUAUUUAAGGCAAAUUACUUUUUUAAUCCCUGGAAGGAUCUUAUAACAUGUAUGAUAUGCAUGUUGUCGAGUAAAAUAUUAGCAAUUGAUAACUAAAAUCAAUGCAUCUUUUAGGGAAUUUUAUUUUGUAUAAUUCAAUUUCUAAUGUGUUCUAUAUCCAGAUGAACUCUUUCUUUCUUUAUUAUCAUUAUUAUUAUUAAAUUGAUAAUUACGUUAAAGGGAUGUGCCCCUUCUAAUUAAGCUAGCAAGGGAAAAAAAAUUCUAAAUGAUAAUUAAGUAACUGACAGUGAGCAUUAGGUAAAACACCUUGUGGAUCAAAAUUCAAGCCUGCUACAUUAUGCUGUGGCUAGCCUUGUUGGGAGUGCUUAACUUCCUUAAUUAUCAAAUUAUAAGAUGAUAAUUAUAAGUUCAAAAUGAAGAAAUAAAAGAAAACAAAUCUAUAGUUUGCUGGUGGGUCUUUGUUGUACUCUUUGACUUGUUUUAUUUCUUAAAGAGAUUAAAAUCUUGAAUCCCAAGUUUCAAGUGACCUCUCUAAGGGAAAAUGAUCAGAUGCAGCAUACAUGCGAGAGAGCAAGUGACGGGCAAAUCAAAGAAUUUAUCAAAUUGCUGAGGAGGUUCCUAAUUCCUAAACAUCACCAAAUCCUGACUAAUAAGGGCUUUGUUUAUUUCAAAAAGCAAUGACUAGGUAGGACAGUUGAGACCAAAACUAGAAAAGGGGAGUGGGGGUGGUUCUUUUAAGGAUAACUAAGUUAUAUCUUCCGACCAGUAAAACCUCAAAUUCUUACAAAUAACCAUCCAUGGAACAGUAGCAUUGCCAUUUGGAUCAGGAGAGAUUAAUACUAGGCUGGCAAGGACCAGAUUCAAGUAAUGGACUGUGCGAUUAGGUAAUUUAUGCUACCUUGAGAUGGUUAUUUUGAUCCUUUCGUUUGAUUAAUAAUUGGGUUAGGUAUCAAUCUAAUUAUUAUACAUUUUCAUAGUCAUUCACUUUAGAUUGUGUGAAGUGGGGUUAAGCAAGAAUAAAUUAAGCUUAACAGGUGAGUAUACAACUUUUUCUUUCUUUCUUUUUUCGUACAAAUGAUGAUAUAGAAGGAACAGCUCUAUCAGCUUCAAGAACAGCUCUCAUGCCAGGAGAAGGGGCCAGCCACAUCUGAAACUUGUGAGUUUGAAAAGAGCCAAUAUAGCCGUGUGUUUCAUUUGCUUUGUGUUAAUCGAAUGAGCUUUUCUAUAAAACAAGAAAUGAUAUAUUAAUAUUUUCUUUAUUCAAUUUGAAGGUCCGUAAGACGUAGUUCGUGGUUUGACGGGAUAAACUUAAAUUUUUUAAAUAAAACAACGUUGUUUUAAUAAAAAAAAUUGAUUGAGAAUGAAAUUUAGUCUAAAUCAAUUGAUGGGUCACCAAAUACAUCCUACUAAGUUUUAUAGCUAUUAUUUACAUUAAAAAUGAUCCUAAUUAUACAAAUUUAUUACUAUGAAUGACAAAAGAUAGCAUGUUUAUGAUAAAUAUGUCAUAUUCCAACAAUUUAUUUAUAUCUUCUUAAUCUUGUUGUAUGGUUUUGUUAUAUAAUUAUUUUCAUGUCCCAAAACAUCUACUAUGUUAUUGAAGAAAUUAAGAGUGCAAGAGUUUCACAUUUUUUAUUAAUUCCAAUAGCAUAAAUUAUUAUGUGAGAUCUCAAGAUAUGAUUUAUAUUAUUCUCUAACACAUCCCUUCAAGUAAAAGUUUUUUUGGGCUUGAAACUUGCACAGACUUAUAUUACCUUGUGCUUAAUGUUUUUCAAAUAAAUAUGAAUGAUGAGAUUUGAACUCGUGAUCACUUGGUUAUCAAAGCUCUAUACCAUGAAGAAAUUAAAAGUGAAAGAGUUUCAUGUUUUUUAUUAAUCUCAGGCAGACACAUAUAUACAUAGACACAUUUAGUCAGCUAUUGUUUCAAUCAUUCUCGGAUAGUUAGCCUAACAACGAUGAGAUAUAUAUAUAUAAGAUCUUUGAUUUAUGGUUAUACACGGAAUUAGUCUUAACUGUCACCACACUUUCAGGGAACAAUUGAUGAUAAAUGUACAAGCACAAGACAUAUGAUAUUUCUAAUAAUUACGUAAUUUAAAGACUAUUUGGCAUUGUGGUUGUUUAAAUAACAUACUUUUUAUUUUUAUUUUUGGAGAUCUACUUUUGAUUUAUUUUGUAUAUAAAAAUCUAUUUUACUACCAUUUUAACAAAACAUAUAUUUUUUAAGACUUAUUUUUUAAAACCGAAACAUAAAAGCUAUAUCAAUACCAAAAACAUAUUUAAUUAUAUUAGGGUAGGCAUUUGGAAAAUGGUCUUUCAAUACCUUCUAAAACAAUUUACCCUUUCUAAAAUUGUUUUUUUUUUUUUUUUUAUCUUUUCGAAUAGAUAUGUUGGGAUUUGGGAGUUAUGGAUAUUAUGCAAAAAGGAUUUUAGACCGUGAAUUAUAUAAAUAGAUAAUUAAACUAUGAUUAGAUUCGAUCACCUACCGGCACACUCAAUGUUUUUUAUUUAAUAAUUAAAAAAAAAUAAAACAAAGACACCUUAGAAAGGAUUUUAGACCGUGUCUUCUUUUUUUUGUUCUUUCUUAAACUCUUGUUUUUUUGUGAGUUUUAAAGUAGUAAGGAUAUAUGGAUAUGAUUCAAAGUCGAGUCCAUCCUUCUCCAUUCUUUUUGCAUAGAAACCAAGCAAAUACAAUAAUAAAAAAAAAUGUAGAAAAAUAGGCGUCAGUGGAGGCGGAUUUUGUACACAAAUACACACACUCGCGUAUUUGCCUUGCAGCAUAAUAUACACAAAAUCUGUCUCUAUACAAAUCAUGUCACUAGUUGGUAUUACAUGCCAAUCAUACUUAAUGAUUUUGACCUAAUAUUAAUUCAACAAAUGUAGUUGGGUUUUCGUUUUCAUAAUCACUGUGACGUUCGUCGGCCGAUUUUCUAGCCAGGCCAAUAUUGUCCAGCUCCAUCUGUUAGCUAGGCUGUCGCCUUAAAAACAAGGAAAUGAAGUGAAAUUUCGAAUCUUACAUAAAUUCAUCAUAUCUUGAUAUUUCUCCAGCUUUUUCUCUCAUGGGCUAUGAUUUACGUGGUCACGACUGCUGUUCAUCUUGAUUCUCUCUGGCUGUGGAUGCUUGUUCUUAUUCCUAAUAAUAGAGUUCUUUUGGCCCUCCUCUUCCAGUCGAUGCUCCUUGGCACCUCUGCUGUCUAGCAUGGGGGAUAUGGUUUUUAUUAUUUUGUAGUUAUUUGAUUUCUUAUAUCAUUUUUGUAUAACCCAACAAAAAGUCCUCAUUGCACAUCAUGCAAGAUUAAUAUACUGUUUGGAAACGCGAUUAACCGUAUUUUUUAAAAUAAUUCAACAAAAUUAUUUAAAUAUAUUGAUAUCAAAAAUAUUUUUAAAAUAUUUUUUGAUACAUUUAUAAAUAAAAAAUAUUUACUAUAAUCACUACCCUAUUUUCAAAUAUCCCCUAGUCACCUAAAGUCAAGAAAACAUAUAUUUUUGUUAGCAUUGCAUAGUGGGCUCUAAGGGCUAGAUUACCGAAAUUAGGUCCAACGAUAAUGAUGAUCCAAAUCCAAAGAAUUUGGGUUAAAUAGGAAGCCUAAAAUGUGAGAUAAUUGUAGGGCCUCGGUCGUUUCCUCCUAUUUCUGCCAUUCCAAGAACCACAACAAAACAAUACAAGCUUCAGCUCAUGGCAUCUUUCUCGGACCCAGUCUAGCUAGGAAUUAUCUGAAAAAGGACCGGGUAAUUAUGUCAGUUCACAGAUCAUCAUAUCAAUUCAAAUUAAUUUUUUUUUUUUAGGUUUGGCUGCAUAACUAGAUCAUUAGAAACCAUGAGGUCAACUGAAUCUUAUCUAGUUAAUAUGCUUUUCUAUUUAACUUGAAAUCCAGUUGAAACAGUUUCCUGAUGGAUCGAGUUUAACAAUUAUAAUUAUGUAAAGUUGAUGCUGAAAAAAAUCCUUUGGCGUGGAAUUCAAAAGGAAUCCCUUGAGUUGUCCGGGUCGUUUUGCGAUGUUCACUUCAACAAAGAUUUGCAAUAAUUUAUGUUGUCAUAUUAGCCUGCCUUUACGUGUGGAUAGGCCAUCCCGUGAUGUCUUUAUUGACAAGAACAUGAAGGUAAGCAUUGCAUGGAAUCCUGCGGAAAAAAGCUAAAUCAUUUCCAUCACUUUAGAUUAAAGUAUUGGCAAAUUGCAGCAAUGAUCUUCACCAAAAUCCCCAUUAAGUAGACGUUUUUGGUCACUCCUAUGUCUAGUCUCUGUUCUAGGAAACAGUGGCCUUCUGAUAGCUUUUCUUUCAGAAAAGAAGCCUGUGCAUGGAUGUAUUCCACCUUUAGCCCCUGCGUAUGGAAUGCCCCAAGGAAACACGCAUCACUGCAAGGUAAAAUCAUGGUGGAAGAUAGGGUUCGUACUGUGUAGUUAGUUAGCAAGUCAUCAGCUACUUUGUUAUGGUCUUGUUUCUGUCAGAAAACGAACUGGAGAAAAUAAAUAAAACGAGGCAUCAGGGAAUUCCUGAAGACAAUCCAGAGUCAGAGCCUGCGAUUACCAAGGCAAGAUUCUAGCGACAUCUGGAAAUGCCAUAACAUCAACUUUACUUCUGAAAACUUUCUUCAAGCUCGCAGUUCCCUGUAAUCCCUUAGCCCUAAUGUUGACAAACUUGUAACGUGCAACUGAAGUAAUUUCAAUAACAGUGACCAUAGCCUCUGUGGCUGAUGAUACCAAAAAGAAGCUCCUGGCCAAAACUUGAGUCCAGAGAGCUAAACACGGAUCUAUAAUCUUUAAACUCGAGCAAGAGUACUGAAACAUAAGAAAAAAAUCCCAAAACAUGAUAGAACAAAAGGUAAAGCAACUAAACUUGAUCAGAGCAAAUUAUCGAGCAAAAACAAGUAUUAAAAUAUGGUACGGUCCCUUUUCUUGUUGGCAAGAUGAAUCUAACUAUCGAUAUUUCUUGUAAAUGUCCUUUUCAAAUAAUAAAAAAUAAAUCAUAAUCCGAAAUUUAAAAGAAAUUCUUGUAAAUAUUUCAAAUAAUCAUAAAUAAAUCUAGAUUUUUUAAAAAAACUAAAAUUGCGAGAAUUAUUUAACAUUUAGAACUUUUUAAUUAAAGAAACGUAAUUUAGGAAUACAUUCUUAAAUAAUUAUUGAUAGAUCAUCACAUGUAAUAUACAGGUUUUCAUUAAAAUCAAGAAAAUUAAGAAUAAUUCAAGCUUUCAUAAUAAUGGGACAAUGACAUACAAUAUGGUGGCAUCCGACAUAGAGGUCUCGUAUAUAUUAGAGAACGUUAACAUAAGUUUUAAUUUCCUCCAACAACUCUACAAUAGGAAAAUUAGGGAGCCGAAGAAAGGCAACGGUACAAGGGAAGGAACCUUGUGAUAAGCCAGAGAAAGGCAGUGUUGUUCUUCUCAAACACCUCCACUUCUUUCCCACACCUCUCCUGAUCCAAUCCCUCUAAUCACCUACUCUUAAUUCUUACUGUAGAACCAUAUAUUCACUCUCAUAAUUUCUUCAACUUUGUGUUAGUCCCAUUUUGUAAUGAUUCUAUAUUAUUGUUUCUUAAGAUGAGAAUUAAAAAACAAGAAUUGGUGAAAUAUCUUUAUUGAAACUGAAACAAUUAAAAUAGAAAGUACUGAGUUUAAAGAACAGGAUUAAAAAGAACAAAUUGAGAUAAUAAACCCUAAAUUAAAUUUUCUAGGCAAAUUCGAGGUAAUCCGACCUCCUUGAGUGAAUGUGAUUUGCUUUAAAGUAAUUUUUUGACUCUCUGCUAAUCCUCCCCUCCUAUUUAUUAACUAAAUCUUAGGAUUAGGAUUUGAAUUUGAAUUCAAGAAGAAAAUUGUCUAGCAAGAAUCCUGGACUGAUUUGUAUGUUGACCACUUCUCCUAUAUAAACGGUGUUGUUGCCUAUAACUGAUGCUUCGUUGUUUGAGGGAAAUAAAAUAUCAUUGCCACAUGUCAACCAGUGAUAAAAGAGUCUCUUCCAGCAUUCCACGUAAGUCUCUAGUUCUAUUUAUGCAUCCAGAGACCAUACACGUGCUAAUCUCUUUUAUUUCUUGCAUGUUCUCUUGUCUCUCCACCACUAUGUCUUCUUCAUUUUCAGAGCAGACUCUUCAUUGUACCUCUUUUGGCAAAACAAAAGAAAUUGACCAUAACUAUCAGGGAACCUGUUGGACCACUACAACUCCCCUCCCCUUAAAAACCUUGCCUUAAGGUGAGGGUAAGCACUUUUUAGCUAGGAUUCCUUAACCUAUACUGCAUCUUCUCUAGGUUGUCCCUCUCACGUUAACAACACCUCUUCUCUUUCCUUCUUCCUUGAGAUUUGGCUUCUUUUGUCAAGGAUCUUCACAUGUUCAGGUUGAAUCUUUUGCUUGGAAUAAAAAAUAGGUAGCCUUGGUUCAGGAGUGGUACCCUUCCUAACCCAUUUCUUUAGCAGUGAGACAUGGAACAUACUGUGAAUACGAGCUUCUUCUGGAAUAUAUAACCGGUAAGCCACCUUUCCUACUUUUUUCAAGAUUUUAAAUGGCCCAAAAUAUUUAUAUGUUAAUUUUUUAUUCUUGCUUCUUGGCAUGUUGGAUUGUCUAAAUGAUUGAAGUCAGAGGUAAACUUAUCACCCUUUUUAAAUUGGUAUUAUAGCAGUACUCAGACAUGGUCAACCAGUUUGACCAAGUCUUGGGAUUAUCCCCCACACAACACCUCAAAUAUCCUUCCAAUGUUUUAUUGGUUGCCUCUAACUGACCAUUGAUUUGUGGGCGGUACGUCGUAGACAUCAAUAGCUUAACUCCUUGGACUUGGAACAACUCUCCCAAGAAUUUACUAGUGAAAGUAGGAUCCUUGUCAAAUAUUAUACUGUCUAGGAAUCCAUGAAGCUUCAUUAUAUGUUGUGAAAACAAAUUGGCUAUUUUCGUAGCAUUGUAAGGAUGAGACACUGGAAUAAAGUGAGCAUAUUUAGUAAACCUAUCCGUAACCACCAAGAUUAUUGAAUACUGGUUAGAUUUCAGUAAACCUUCUAUGAAAUCCAUGGAUGUGAAUGACCAUGAUAUUUUAUUUCCCUCAAACAACGAAGCAUCAGGUAUAGGUAACGACACCGUUUAUAUAGGAGAAGUGGUCAACAUACAAAUCAAUCUUGGAUUCUCGCCAGACAGUUUCCUUCUUGAAUUCAAAUUCUAAGAUUUAGUUAAUAAAUAGGAUGGGAGGAUUAGCAAAGAGGCAAGAAAUUGUUCAAAGCAAAUCACAUCCACCCAAAGAGGCUCAAACUACCUCGAAUCUACCCAAAAAAUUUAGUUUAGGGUUUAUUAUCUUAAUUUUUUUCUUUCUAAUUAUGUUCUUUCAAACUCAGUACUUUGUAUUUUAAUUAUUUCAGUUUCAAUUCAAAUUCAAUAAACACUGCCACAAUUCUUAUAUUUACCGAUGGAAUUUUUCGUCGAUAUUUGUAUUAUCAUUUCGUUGGUAAUUAAUUUACCGACGGGAUCACAGAUGAAAAUGCUUCAUUGGUGAAUCAUUUGUCGGUAAUGUUUUGUCUGUCGGUAAUAAAAAAAAUAUUAUUAUCGAUGGAUUUUCUAAUGGGAAAAGCGCGCUAAAAAAAUUACUCGUUUCAUUUCGUUGGUAUUUCCCUCAAGAAGCUUGUCAUAUAACUGACAAAAAUACCGUAUGCAAUUUCAUCAGUGAUUAUUUAAAAAUAUUUUAACAAAAAUCUAUUUAACAAAACUAGAAAAAUAAUUAAAUAAUUAAAAUCUAUUUAAAAAUCCUAUAAAUAAAUCAACUAAAAAUUGAUAUCACAUGAAAAAAAAAUCCUACAACAACAUUCAUACAAUUAUUAAGAACAAAAAAUUUUAAAAAUAAAAUAACAAAUAUCAUGAAAAAACACAAAAAAAAAAGAAAAAUCUUACCUUAAUGUAGUUGCGAGUAAAGCUGAGAAGAGGAAAAAAAAACAAACUCAUAAAGUAUGUUAAUUAAAAAAAUCGAGAAAAGAAAAGAAGAAAAGAGAAAAAGACAUACCUGAGCGUGGAGGAGAAGAGCAGGAGUUGAGGAGAGAAGAGAAGAGAAAGAAAAAGAUGUUGAUGUUUUUACAUAAGAAGAAGAAGAAGAGGCACGUCUAUUGUGAAAUGAGAGAUUCUAGUCUUUUUAUUAGGGCAUUUUACCAACAGUUUUACCAACGGAUAAUUAAAUAUUAAUAUUUUUAAUUAUCCCGUCGGUGAUUCCAUCUGUAAUAUUUAAUUUAAAUUUUCAAUUUAAUCAAAAAAUUUCAGAAACCGUCAAAUAUCACCGAUGACUUUUCAAUUCAUCGGUGAUUUCUUCUGUAAUAUUUAAUUUAAAUAUUCAAUUUAAUAAAAAAAAUUCAAAAACCCACCAAAUAACACCGAUGACUUUUCAAUUCAUCAGUGAUUUUGUCUGUAAAGAAUAGUAAUUAACAGUGCAAUUGAGAGAUGAAUAGUUCCAGAGUUCUCUGGAAAAUACCAAUGAAAAAUUUUGUCAGUAAUUUCGUUGGUAAUUGACAUGAUGAAUAGUGUCAGGGAGAUGUGAACAAUUUACCAACGCAUUUACCGAUGGAUUUUACCGACGAUAUUCGAACUGUCAGUAAUUCCAUUGUUAUAAAUGAUACGUCAUCGUAUUUGUUGGCUUUGUUUUAAUUCUUUUUUUCCACUGUAAUUCCCUCGAUAUAUACCGAAGGAAUAUUUAUGUCAGUAAAAUUCACUGCAAUUUAUUGACAAAAACAUUCCAUCAAUAUUUAUGCUUGUAUUUAGCAAUUUUCUGGUAGUGAAAGAUAUCUCACCAUUUCUUGUUUUUUAAUUCUCAUCUUAAGAAACAAUAAUCUAGAAUCAUUACAAGUUGUAUCAGAGCCACGUUCCUUGGACAAAAAUGGCUGAAGGCACUAGAGUUUCAUAAUUGAUAGAGACAGUAACAAGGAUGAAACAGCAGCAAGAGACGCAACAACAGAACCAGCAAAGUCAACAACAAUUAUAAGAGGAUAUAGUUCAGCAAUUAAGAAGUAUGUCUGCUAGAAUGGAUCAGAUGUCUAAAGCCCAAGGAAAAAGGCCCAUUGGCUUCCCACCAAAUUCUCCUACAAGGUCUGUUAAUGGGAAUCAAAGGCAUGAAGUAAUUCCACAUGAAGGAACCCAACAAGUUUAGCUCAAAUCAAUCCAAUUAGAAUUUCCCCGAUUUAAUGGGGAUGAUCUUAUUGGUUGGGUAUACGAAACAAAUCAAUUCUUCAACUUUCACAACACCCCACCCCAACAAAGGCUAUUUAUAGCUAGUUUCCACAUGGAAGAAAAAGCUAUAACGUGGUAUCAAGAACUUGAGGAAACAAGAAUUCUCAUAAGUUAGGUGACACGACCAAAAGAUUGAUGUCUUCUCCCAAGUGCAGGAGUGUCGAAGUAAUAAAUAACCCGGCAAGACCGGGGUCGAACCACAGGGAGGUUAAUUGUAUAAAUUAUAGAUAACAAUAAUACAACAACAACAAUAACAACAAUAAUAAUAAUAGUGAAGAGGAAGAGGAAGAAGUUGAUGAGAACUUUGAGAUGGAAGAUUAACGUAAGGAUUAAACAAUGAUAACAACAAAUGUCAAGGUUAGAGGAUCCACUAAUGGUAUUUCAAACAAGUAUAGUAUAAACUCUUUUUAUUCAAUUGGAAACCACACACAAAGGAGGUUCCAAUCAGAUUAUAAAUUGUUAACAUGAUUACAUUAGUUAUCUUAUUCGAAUAAUGCUAAUACUUGUAAAUGUUGUCAGGCAUUCAUGAUUAUAACUUAUGUUAACAACAAAUCAAGUUCCUUUCAUAGCUCAGAUGUCGGUUAUACCAUACAGUAUGGGCUAUGAAAGUGCCAAGUAUUUGUUGUACCAAGUAUUAUACAACAUAAAUCUAGAUUAACCAUUUAACAAGCAAAGUAUUAAAAGUGAACAAGAUAACAAAUAUAAAGCAUGUUAGUAUCCAACAUUAAGGUCCAUGUUAAGUUUAUAUUAUACUUAUUCUUACACCAUUAGUGUACCCUUUUCACCUUGACAUAAUUAACUUAGCAACACAUAAUGAAAGAAAGAAACAUAAAGAAACAAGGAAAGGAAAUGAAAAGCAUAAGCAAGAAAUUAAUAUAAGCAAAACUUAAGCAUUACAAAAUAUAAAGAGAGAACAAGAGCAUGAUCUUGAUCUGAACACCAAGAUGCCUAAAUACAUGGCAAAUGCCUCCUUUUAUAGGCCAAAAUUCAGAACUAUUGAUUUGUUGACUAAUUGAUGAAUGGGUGGCCACAUCUUGACUUGGUGACAAUUCUUAUCUUCUUGUCUGCCAAAAAAGUCAUUGAUAACGUCAUAAUUUGAACAGACUUCAAUCAUGAAAGUUCUAGGGAAUUGUCUCAUCUUUCCAGGGUAAAAAAUUGAGAUCAUUUGGACUUCUAGAACUCGAGAUAUGGGCUGAACACUGAACAGUAUCUGGGAUGCAGGACAGAUUCGGACUUCUUCAUUGUUGCUACAAUUUGGACUUGCAAAAAGGCCUUGUUAAAUCUUGGACUCCUCAUGAAAGUUGUAGGCCUAUGUCUUAGCUUUCCAUCCAUAUAAGGCAGACCUAAAUCCGAGAUCUACAACUCCAGAUAUGACCCGAUUACCGAACAGUAUUCCAGUUUGGACUGCACCAACAUCUCUUUUCUAAGUUUGGCCAUUUUUCUGUCCUUUCAAUUUCAGUACUUCAACUCAUCAAUCAAUUCUUUCAUUUAUGUGAUAGGCCUGUAUUUAAAAUGAACAUUUACCAUAAAUUAAAGGUAUCUUAUAUUAUUAGAUAUGUUAGUAUAAAACAUGCUUUAGUUAAGGAGUUAUUGAUACUUCAAGUGCAAAAUGAUGAUAUAGAACCUUGAUAAAAAUGCACUUUUAAGUACUAAUCAUUAGGAAGCUUUUGUAAAAACCCUCCAAAUUCAUUUUUGGACAUCAUCCUAUGAUGACCUAAUGGAGGCCCUCAUAAGUAUUAAGCAAACUUCAACAAUAGAGCUCUACAAAACCCAAUUCAAGAUUCUUUCGAAUCGGGUCAGGGGGUUAUCUGACUCUCACUGGCUCAAUUGUUUUCUAGAAGGGUUGAAUGAAAAGAUCAAGAUCGAAGUAAGGAUGUUAAGCCCCUAAAACUUAGUGGCUGUUUAUGGAUUGGCCAGAAUAUAGAAGGAAAACUUGAUUGUUAUGAGAAGGACAUGGAAACCUAGUUUUACUGAAUUUCAAGGCUGAAAUAUAAUACCAGCCCAGCCCAAAGCUGAAAACAAAUCAGUUAUAUAUCUUCUUUACAAAAGCUCACUCCAACACAAAUGAAGGGAAAAAAAUGGACCAUAACUACCAGAAACCCUACUGGACCAUUACACAUUUGUUAUAAAACCAUGCCCUUUUUUCCUUGCUUGUUUACAAGUUAUAUAUCUUCUUUUAAGUUAUAGUUCCUUAAGGUAUUGUUCCUUCUCUUCCCUUCUUCUCUUUCUCUUAAAAUUUUUGUGUUUGUUUGAAAGUUGUUGAAAUUAUUAAUUCUUCAUAUCCUAGCCAUGGUGAUGAUGGGACUGGAGAGCUCUUCACCAUCACCUAAUGAGAAAAUAAGAGCACCAGAGUACAUCUGCAGAGAUUUAAUGAGAAAAUGCUCAACGUGGAGAAUUUGCUCGAAAUCAAUUGCCACUAAGGUUAUGAUCAAUGGGGUUUUAUAAUUACUCAUUAUGGAAACACUUAUAUGCACUCACUACCAAGACUCUACUUAAUGUAAAACAUACAAUGAAAAAUUAUAUUAGGGUGGAAGAAGUCAACAUGACAAGACAAGGUCACCCAUAUUUACAUCGAGUAUAACUUCUCAACAUCACCAAUCUCCAACCAAAGCAUCUAAAAGGAGCAUUAAAGGACAUAUUUUUUGUUGCAUGAUAUUUUUUGAGCUCCUAACCACCACAUAAACUAAAAUUCUAGUUAUUAUCAGAGGAAAAUAAUAUGUUUAAUAUCUUGCUCCUAUGAAAAGUGGCACAAACAUGAAGAGCCAUUAUAAGUUUUGUCUUUUUCAGUGUAACCAUGGACACGAUACUAAAGAAUGUCACGUCAAAAGAAAAUAGAAAGUUUGAUUUCCAAAAGUAAUCUUCACUGGUUCGUGAAAAGAGAAACAAAACCUGAGCAAGAAAGGAAGGAAGGAAGUCUACACACUUGAUGACCUACCUAAGAUUUAAUAAUCCCCAAAUUAGCUUCAUAAAUUGUAUCUCCAUCUUUUGAAUUUUUUAAUAAAAGCAACAAAUUUUCUCUAUAUCUCCAACAAAAAAUCUCCAUUAAAAUCUCUGAGCUUGACUCUAGGUCCUCGUGACCACUUUUCUCUAAAUCCUCAUGACCACAAUACUCCAAGUUCUCGAAACCACUUGUGUCCCAAAGGAUCAAGGAUUUUUCUUCAGUCUUUGUGACUACUCAUGGAAUAUUUCCAUUUAAAAAUCAUUCUUGAAACACAUACACACAUCAUAUUACUUUCACGCUUGUUUUCUUUUUUACUAUUAAAUCGCUCCCUUUAAAAGUAAGACAAUUAAACUCUUCUUUAUUUAUUGUAGAAACAUUGACAAAAGACCAUCUAUAUGUAUGACAAAAUGGAAGAAAUUCAAUCACCUAACCAUGGUAACAUUAUCGUAUCAAUAACAUGUAACAUCACUUGUAAAAAACAAGUAAGUAUUUUCUCUAUUUUUUGUUGCCUAAAGUCUUCCAAACAUGUAUGUUUGAAAGACCUAGGGGAAAAAUGAUAGAGCAUGAUUUAAUAAUUAUAAUUAUAAUAAUAAACUUUAUUUUUUUCUAAAAAAAUAAGCAGCUUAUUUGUUUCAUGGCCAAAAUGGGCUACUGCAUGCAAUCACCAUGUUUAAGUUGAAGCCCAAAUAGAUUGCACCCCAAUUUUUUUCUUCUUUUUCUUCCACAUGCUCUAAUGUACUUUUUGAGUUUUGAGAAGACAGAAUGCGGCACCACACACUGCCCAUGCACACAAUAUUUUUCAUGAUUAAUUGACAUAUAUUUUUUUUAUAGAUGCUUAGUAAGUACAAACUUUUAUGCAGACACCAUAUUUUUUUAGCUAAUAAUUGACAAUGCAAACACAUACCAUUUUCUACUCAACAUUUCUCUAACAUUGCAAGACUUUGUCUUACAUUGCAAGAUUUAAUUUUUUUUUCUUAUAUUAUUUCUUUCCUAUUUACAAAUUUAAGUAUCAGAGAGUCUCAUUCCAUAAGAGACUUAUUUUGUUUAGGAAUUCUUAAUUCCAAACUCGAAACCCAACUCACACGUCUUGGCUCAUAGAUUAUAGAAAGCUCAAUUUAUGUGUGGGGUUUUCUCUGGACUCCAUUAUUUAUGAUAAAAUUGAUAAGAGUGAGAACAUAAGAGUCGAGAUAAGAAGCAGAAAGGCCAAGAAACUCAUUGAAGAGACCUUAAAGAUUGCAGAUUCACCAAGGACCAAAACUUAUAGUUUUUCAGUGCUUUUAUUGGUCGUCAUCAUCAUCUCAAAUGUAUAGUUAUGCUACAAGUAAUUAAAGGCACGUACAUAGUGUAAAUCAUGUUUUGAUGUUUAACUUUGGUGUUAAUUAAUUUGGUUCUACAAGUAAUUUAUAGACUAAAUUUUCGAACGGUCAAAUUUGAAACCUCUCGACUAUACUUCUUAUUUAGGUCAAAUUUGAAACAUCUCGACUAUACUUCUUAUCUAACUUUACCUUUAAAUUAAACUAUAUAAAAAUUGUUUCAGUGUAACCCAAAUGACUUAGUGGGUUGAAAAAAAUUUGAAUUACUAAAAACAUGGUUUGGCUUUAAAAAUAUUUUCAAGAUGACAUCUUUUUUAAAAAAAAUAUUGAGAUGAAGAUACAUUAGAUCAACCCCGGUCAACUUAGGUUAACCCACUAAACUCUCGAUCUAAAUCAUAAACUUCAUUGAGUUUAAUAACUUUGUAUUUUUUUUUCUUAACUAUUUUUAUUUAUAAUAUGAUGAAAAAAAAUAGACGCUUAUAAAACCGAAUACCAACUCAAUACUGGGAUGUUUUUAUAAGAUUACGAUAACCCCAUGAAAAGUAAAUUGAAAUAAAUCAUGAGGUCUAAUUGUCAAUAAUUAUGUUUUUUCUAAAAUUAUUUUUUAUUUAAUAAUAUGAUGAAAAAAGUAGAUGCUCAAAAAACUAAGUACCAACCGAAUAUCAAUAUAUUUUUCUAAGAUCGUGAUAACCCCAUAGAAAGUAAAUCAAAAUAAAUCUUGAAGUCCAAUUCAUAAUACUUACACUUUUUUAACCAUUUUUUUCAUUAUAUUAGACUAUUUUUUUCAAUAUAUUAUACCAUUUUUUAUUUAAUAAUCAUAAAACUGAGUAUCAACCAAAUAUUAGAAUGUUUUUUCUGAAACCAUGAUAACCACGUAUAAAAAAAUAUGUAAAUAAUAAAAUAUAUAAAAGAAAUAAAAAGGCAAAAGCAAAAGCAAAAAGAAAAAGAAAAAAAACAUGUUAUUGUUCCAAUGAACAGUAACAUAUGAGGAGAGGACAAUAAUUUCCCCUCCUCAAUUAAUCAUUUUUUAAAACUAUUUUUUUUAACAAUAUGUUUGAUCAUUUUUAAUUUAAUAAUAUAGUAGAAAACGUAAAUAAUCAUAAAACUGAGCAUCAACCACAUAUCAUGAUGUUUUUCUGAAACCAUGAUAACCCCGUAUAAAAAAAUAAAAUAAAGAGCAAAGUUCAAUUCUCAAUAAAUCCAAUAGAAAAAGAUAAAAAAAGAAAAAAAAAGAAAAAAAAAGAAAAAAGAAAAAAAAAGAAAAAAAAAAGCAUGUUACUGUUCUAAUGAAUAGUAACAUGUGAGGAGGGGAACAAUAAUUUCCCCUCCUCAAUUAAUUUCUUUUUUUUAAUUAUUUUUUAUUUAACAAUAUGUUAGACCAUUUUUUAUUUAAUAAUCUGAUUAAAAAAUAAACGGUUAUAAAUCUGAGCACAAUCAAAUAUCAAGAUAUAUAACCUCGUAUAAAGAAAAUCAAAAUAAAUAGUAAAAUUCAAAUCUCAAUAAAUUCAAUAUAAAAAUAUGAAAAUAUAAAAAAGAAAAAAAAAACAUGUUAAUGAAUAGUAAGGAGGGAAACAAUAAUUUCCCCUCCUCAAUUAAUUUUUUUUUUUUAACCAUGAAGUUAAUGGCAUGCCUCCAUUAGCAAACACCCUGUGGAGGUCAAACCGAAUGAUUUUACCUUUUUCCUCUUUAGAACUUGAAAUUUCAUUGUCUUGGCUUUGUACAUUAAUGAUUUGGCCGUCCCUUCCGCCGUGCUAAUGCCUAAUUUUUAGUACGAAAAUACACACCCCAUUAAGGCUGUAUUUUUAUUUAUUUAUUUUUUGUUUAAAAGGUAUUUUUUAUAUUUUUAUUUUUUAUAUUUUUUCUUUAAAUUAUUUUUUAAUCAUUUUAAAUCAUUUCAAUUUUCUGAUAUUAAAAAUAAAUUUUAAAAAAUAAAAUAAAAAAUAUUAUUUUAAUACAUUUUCAAACAAAAAAAUACUUUAAAAAACAAUCUCUAUCACACCUCCAAACAUCAUUUUAAUUAAAUGUCAUUGGCAAUAUAAAUUUCAUAUUAUUUCCGUACAAAUCUUAAGUACCAAUUUGUAUAUGAUAAGCAUGAGUCCCAUAAAUUUUAAACGAUAGGCUUCCCAUGAAAGAAGUAAUUGCCAAAUAUAAGAAUUUGAAUAGAUAUUCAUUUAGUUCCUUUAUUUUUAGCAAAUUAAUUAGCUACUCCUUCUCAUUUAAGUAUUCCACUAUUGCAUUUCAAUUAUUUUUUUUAAUUUCUGUUUAAUAACUUAUUUCUUUCAGUAAAUGUUUGUUAACAGCAUGGUGAGCUGCAAGCAAUUUAAUUAUUAUUUCUUCAAAAUACCCUUUAAUUUGACUAUAUAUUUAACUGAAAGAGAAGAAGCCUGGAGCUAGUUUGAUCAUUUCCUAAAAAAACUAAUUAACAGGGCUUUAAAAGAUGUAUCUGGUAUAAGGAAUCAAAGAGUUAAGUCUGAGAUUAGAGGACCUAAGUUAUCAAUCACUGAAAAUAUAGGGACUAAAUUUAAACGUAUAGAAAUUUGGCUAUUUAAGUAUUUGGUGUUGUGUCUCUGACAGUUACAGUUACAUGCAUCUCUCUCACUUUUUCGUCUCCUUCACUCCCACUAAUUAGCCCCUCUUCUAAGUGCCGCCACCAUUCACUCCUUGACUUUAGUCCUUCCCUCGCAAUAGAAUUUCCUGCUAAUUUCUUGAUUUUCCUACCUAAUUAACUUGCCUACAAGUUAUAUAUAUAUAUCUUCUUGCUAGUAAUUCCUCAAGGUAGUCAGUCUCCUUGCAUUUUUGUGCUUAUUGAUCCUUUUCGUUCUUUAGUAACAGGAAGUUUUAAGUAGCUAGCUAGCUAGCACGGUGGCCAUGGUGAUGAUGGGACUAAGGAGGCUGGUGAUGAUCUUGAAUUCCAAGAUAAGGUUCUUGAAGAUGAAGAAGGGUUAUGAUAAGAUUGAGAAGAGUGAGAGCAUGAGAGUUGAGGUGAGAAGCAGGAAGGCCAGGAAGCUCAUUGAAGAGACAUUAAAAAUUGCUGAUUCGCCAUACACCAAGACUUAUGCUUUUUGAUGAUCACUACUGUUCUUGAGCAUCUCUUCUCAUGUGUUGAAUUGCUACAAUGUAUGUGUGUGUGUAUCAUGGUUUUGUUUCUUAAUUGUUAAUUAAGCAUGUUUUUAUUGAAAAUAUUUAAUUAGUUGUCACAUAAUUACCUCCUUUUGUCCUCUUUAUUUCCAUGGCUAAGCUGCUAGGUCAUGGAUACAAUACCAUAACUCCAUUCCCUUAAUCUUCCUAAUGUCGAGCAUGCUUGCGAUUUACAUCAUUUUUUACCUUAUCGAAUAAUGAAGUUAUGGCUUAAUCAAUUAAAAUUGUUGAUAAUGAUUGUGGUGUUACUUUUUCCUAGCAACUUUGAAAUUGCAUUUACUCUUGUAACAAUACAUUAUGAUAUACAUGUGUAUAGUUAUUCAAUUUAAAGAUUAACC
rnacentral:lncRNA from 1 species